CAGGCCUAACACAUGCAAGUCGAGCGGACCAUUCCUUCGGGGAUGGUUAGCGGCGGACGGGUGAGUAACACGUAGGCAACCUGCCUGUAAGAUCGGGAUAACUACCGGAAACGGUAGCUAAGACCGGAUAGCUGGUUUCUCCGCAUGGGGGAAUCAUGAAACACGGGGCAACCUGUGGCUUACGGAUGGGCCUGCGGCGCAUUAGCUAGUUGGUGGGGUAAUGGCCCACCAAGGCGACGAUGCGUAGCCGACCUGAGAGGGUGAUCGGCCACACUGGGACUGAGACACGGCCCAGACUCCUACGGGAGGCAGCAGUAGGGAAUCUUCCGCAAUGGGCGCAAGCCUGACGGAGCAACGCCGCGUGAGUGAUGAAGGUUUUCGGAUCGUAAAGCUCUGUUGCCAAGGAAGAACGCCUCGGAGAGUAACUGCUCUGAGGGUGACGGUACUUGAGAAGAAAGCCCCGGCUAACUACGUGCCAGCAGCCGCGGUAAUACGUAGGGGGCAAGCGUUGUCCGGAAUUAUUGGGCGUAAGGCGCGCGCAGGCGGUCUUUUAAGUUUGGUGUUUAAGCCCGGGGCUCAACCCCGGUUCGCACUGAAAACUGGGAGACUUGAGUGCAGGAGAGGAAAGCGGAAUUCCACGUGUAGCGGUGAAAUGCGUAGAGAUGUGGAGGAACACCAGUGGCGAAGGCGGCUUUCUGGACUGUAACUGACGCUGAGGCGCGAAAGCGUGGGGAGCAAACAGGAUUAGAU
rnacentral:rRNA from 1 species